AACGCACCUUGCGCUCCUUGGUUAUUCCGAGGAGCAUGCCUGUUUGAGUGUCAUUAAAUUCUCAACUUCCAACGGUUUCUUUGCAGAUCGUCUUUGGAGGGUUGGAUGUGAGGGUUUGCCGGUUUCUCUGAGUCGGCUCCCUUUAAAAAUCUCAGUGUUGUCUCUUGCUGACGCAACGCCCCCUCGGUGUGAUAAUCUAUCUAUGCCGUGUGUUGGGAGGUCAGACAUUUUGUGAGCAGUGCUUCUAACCGUCUGGUUUUUCCGGACAAGUUAUUCAUGACUUUGACCUCAAAUCAGGUAGGACUACCCGCUGAACUUAA
rnacentral:rRNA from 1 species